rnacentral:lncRNA from 1 species
UUGAAGUGUUAUCAUGACAUUGUAUGAAUGAGAGUUCAAUGAAGAUAAUGUGAUCAUGUUAUGAAUGUAAAGGUGUUGUUGUAGGUUGUUCACUGAUUUGGUUGCAUAAUUACUACCCUAUUUUCCAUGCUCUUUGAUUUCAUUACAUGCCUUCAAGGUGUUUGACAAAAUGUCCAACUAUGGAGAAUUGAUGAAUCGAUGCUUUAAAGUUUGAGUUAUGAGAUGUAUGGAAAUCCAGAGAUGUGUUGAUGACACUCAUGAAUGUUGAUGAUAUAAUAUGAA